rnacentral:sRNA from 1 species
GCCAAACGUAACUAAACAGGGCUGCCCC